UACGUAGGCAGCAAGCGUUGUUCGGAAUUACUGGGCGUAAAGAGUGUGUAGGUGGUGUCGUAAGUUUGGUGUGAAAUCUCCCGGCUUAACUGGGAGGGUGCGCCGAAGACUGCGAUGCUGGAGUAUGGGAGAGGAAAGCGGAAUUCCUGGUGUAGCGGUGAAAUGCGCAGAUAUCAGGAGGAACACCAAUGGCGAAGGCGGGUCUCUGGGCCGAUAUUGACGCUGAGGAGCGAAAGCGUGGGGAGCGAACAGG
rnacentral:rRNA from 1 species